CCUACGGGGGGCAGCAGUGGGGAAUAUUGGACAAUGGGCGAAAGCCUGAUCCAGCCAUGCCGCGUGUGUGAAGAAGGCCUUCGGGUUGUAAAGCACUUUCAGUGGGGAAGAAAGCCUUGGGGCUAAUACCCUCGAGGAAGGACAUCACCCACAGAAGAAGCACCGGCUAACUCCGUGCCAGCAGCCGCGGUAAUACGGAGGGUGCGAGCGUUAAUCGGAAUUACUGGGCGUAAAGCGCGCGUAGGCGGUCUGAUAAGCCGGUUGUGAAAGCCCCGGGCUCAACCUGGGAACGGCAUCCGGAACUGUCAGGCUAGAGUGCAGGAGAGGAAGGUAGAAUUCCCGGUGUAGCGGUGAAAUGCGUAGAGAUCGGGAGGAAUACCAGUGGCGAAGGCGGCCUUCUGGACUGACACUGACGCUGAGGUGCGAAAGCGUGGGUAGCAAACAGGAUUAGAUACCCGGGUAGC
rnacentral:rRNA from 1 species